AUUCACUUAGUAUAUAUUAGUACUUUUGACUUCCAAUCAAAAAGAUUGUAAACCAAAGUGAAUA
rnacentral:tRNA from 1 species